rnacentral:rRNA from 1 species
ACGGGAGGCAGCAGUGAGGAAUAUUGGUCAAUGGGCGCAAGCCUGAACCAGCCAUGCCGCGUGCAGGAUGACGGCUCUAUGAGUUGUAAACUGCUUUUAUACGAGGGUAAAACCUGGAAUCCUUCCAGCUUGAAAGUAUCGUAUGAAUAAGGAUCGGCUAACUCCGUGCCAGCAGCCGCGGUAAUACGGAGGAUCCAAGCGUUAUCCGGAUUUAUUGGGUUUAAAGGGUGCGUAGGCGGUUUGGUAAGUUAGCCGUGAAAUAAUAAGGCUUAACCUUAUAUGUGCGGUUGAUACUGUCAGACUAGAGAUUAUGUGCAGUGGGCGGAAUGUGUGGUGUAGCGGUGAAAUGCUCAGAUAUCACACAGAACACCGAUUGCGAAGGCAGCUCACUAAUAUACAUCUGACGCUGAGGCACGAAAGCGUGGGGAUCAAACAGGAUUAGAUACCCUGGUA